UACGUAGGCAGCAAGCGUUGUUCGGAGUUACUGGGCGUAAAGGGUGUGUAGGCGGUUGCUUAAGUUUGGUGUGAAAUCUCCCGGCUCAACUGGGAGGGUGCGCCGAAUACUGAGUGACUAGAGUGCGGGAGAGGAAAGUGGAAUUCCUGGUGUAGCGGCGAAAUGCGUAGAUAUCAGGAGGAACAUCGGUGGUGUAGACGGCUUUCUGGACCGUAACUGACGCUGAGACACGAAAGCGUGGGUAGCAAACAGG
rnacentral:rRNA from 1 species